UACGAAGGGUGCAAGCGUUACUCGGAAUUACUGGGCGUAAAGCGUGCGUAGGUGGUGAGUUAAGUCUGUCGUGAAAGCCCCGGGCUCAACCUGGGAAUGGCGAUGGAUACUGGCUCGCUAGAGUGCGGUAGAGGAGAGUGGAAUUUCCGGUGUAGCGGUGAAAUGCGUAGAUAUCGGAAGGAACACCAGUGGCGAAAGCGGCUUCCUCGGUCCAGCACCGACGUUCAGGCACGAAAGCGUGGGGAGCAAACAGG
rnacentral:rRNA from 1 species